CAGCAGCCGCGGUAAUACGGAGGAUCCGAGCGUUAUCCGGAUUUAUUGGGUUUAAAGGAGCGUAGAUGGAUGUUUAAGUCAGUUGUGAAAGUUUGCGGCUCAACCGUAAAAUUGCAGUUGAUACUGUCAGUCUUGAGUACAGUAGAGGUGGGCGGAAUUCGUGGUGUAGCGGUGAAAUGCUUAGAUAUCACGAAGAACUCCGAUUGCGAAGGCAGCUCACUGGACUGCAACUGACACUGAUGCUCGAAAGUGUGGGUAUCAAACAGGAUUAGAUACCCUGGUAGUCCACACAGUAAACGAUGAAUACUCGCUGUUUGCGAUAUACAGUAAGCGGCCAAGCGAAAGCAUUAAGUAUUCCACCUGGGGAGU
rnacentral:rRNA from 1 species